GACGAACGCUGGCGGCGUGCUUAACACAUGCAAGUCGAGCGGUAAGGCCCUUUCGGGGGUACACGAGCGGCGAACGGGUGAGUAACACGUGGGUGACCUGCCCUCAGCUCUGGGAUAAGGCCUCGGGAAACCGGGUCUAAAUACCGGGAUAUGACUCCAUGACGCACGUUGUGGGGUGGAAAGCCUUGUGCGGUUGAGGAAUGGGCCCGCGGCCUAUCAGCUUGUUGGUGGGGUUGAUGGCCUACCAAGGCGACGACGGGUAGCCGGCCUGAGAGGGCGACCGGCCACACUGGGACUGAGACACGGCCCAGACUCCUACGGGAGGCGAGCAGUGGGGAAUCUUGCGCAAU
rnacentral:rRNA from 1 species